UACGUAGGGGGCAAGCGUUGUCCGGAAUCAUUGGGCGUAAAGCGCGCGUAGGCGGCCCGGUAAGUCCGUUGUAAAAGUCAAAGGCUCAACCUUUGAAUGUCAGUGGAUACUGCCGGGCUAGAGUCCGGAAGAGGCGAGUGGAAUUCCUGGUGUAGCGGUGGAAUGCGCAGAUAUCAGGAGGAACACCUAUUGCGAAGGCAGCUCGCUGGGACGUAACUGACGCUGAGACGCGAAAGCGUGGGGAGCAAACAGG
rnacentral:rRNA from 1 species